UACGUAGGUGGCAAGCAUUGUCCGGAUUUACUGGGCGUAAAGAGCGCGCAGGCGGUCGUUCAAGUCGCGUGUGAAAGCCCCCCGGCUCAACUGGGGAGGGUCACGCGAUACUGAUCGACUCGAAGGCAGGAGAGGGAAGUGGAAUUCCCGGUGUAGUGGUGAAAAUGCGUAGAUAUCGGGAGGAACACCAGUGGCGAAGGCGACUUCCUGGCCUGUUCUUGACGCUGAGGCGCGAAAGCUAGGGGAGCAAACGGGG
rnacentral:rRNA from 1 species